CCUGCGGAAGGAUCAUUAAUGAAUUCACUAUGGAGUUGUUGCUGGCCUCUAGGGGCAUGUGCACGCUUCACUAGUCUUUCAACCACCUGUGAACUUUUGAUAGAUCUGUGAAGUCGUCUUUCAAGUCGUCAGACUUGGUUUGCUGGGAUUUAAACGUCUCGGUGUGACAACGCAGUCUAUUUACUUACACACCCCAAAUGUAUGUCUACGAAUGUCAUUUAAUGGGCCUUGUGCCUUUAAACCAUAAUACAACUUUCAACAACGGAUCUCUUGGCUCUCGCAUCGAUGAAGAACGCAGCGAAAUGCGAUAAGUAAUGUGAAUUGCAGAAUUCAGUGAAUCAUCGAAUCUUUGAACGCACCUUGCGCCCCUUGGUAUUCCGAGGGGCAUGCCUGUUUGAGUGUCAUUAAAUUCUCAAACUCACUUUGGUUUUUUCCAAUUGUGAUGUUUGGAUUGUUGGGGGCUGCUGGCCUUGACAGGUCGGCUCCUCUUAAAUGCAUUAGCAGGACUUCUCAUUGCCUCUGCGCAUGAUGUGAUAAUUAUCACUCAUCAAUAGCACGCAUGAAUAGAGUCCAGCUCUCUAAUCGUCCGCAAGGACAAUUUGACAAUUUGACCUC
rnacentral:rRNA from 1 species